AUUGAACGCUGGCGGCAUGCUUUACACAUGCAAGUCGAACGGCAGCAUGGGUGCUUGCACCUGAUGGCGAGUGGCGAACGGGUGAGUAAUGUAUCGGAACAUAUCCGCAAGUGGGGGAUAACGUAGCGAAAGUUACGCUAAUACCGCAUAUUCCCUGAGGGGGAAAGGAGGGGAUCCGCAAGGACCUUUCGCUUACGGAGUGGCCGAUAUCAGAUUAGCUAGUUGGUGGGGUAAAGGCCUACCAAGGCGACGAUCUGUAGCGGGUCUGAGAGGAUGAUCCGCCACACUGGGACUGAGACACGGCCCAGACUCCUACGGGAGGCAGCAGUGGGGAAUUUUGGACAAUGGGGGCAACCCUGAUCCAGCCAUGCCGCGUGAGUGAAGAAGGCCUUCGGGUUGUAAAGCUCUUUCAGCUGGAAAAAAAUCGCAUCACCUAAUACGUGGUGUGGAUGAUGGUACCAGCAGAAGAAGCACCGGCUAACUUCGUGCCAGCAGCCGCGGUAACAC
rnacentral:rRNA from 1 species